rnacentral:lncRNA from 1 species
AGCUCCUUUCCGUAGGGUCCGGGAGACUUAGCUCCGAGUCCAAAUCCGCCCUCGCACCUUUAGUGACGUGUUUUAAGACUGUCACUUAGCCGCGUUUGCCUCAUUUGUAAGGAAACCCUCCUUGGGAUCCCUAAAAGUGGGACUCGACUGGAAAACGGCUCAACCGCCGUAACAGCCACGAGGACGGGGGGAUAUAAAAGAUAGAGAGCUGCCCUUGGUCAGCAAUACCGGAGAUCUUGGUCCUGUAUCAGACUAGAAUGGAUGAGUGACCGUGUGACAAUCAGGCACCCAAGAGAACUCUCCAAGACUCCAAGACAAGUUGCUGAGAAGAUAAUGAUUUUCUGAGAAUUGAAGUCCUGGUACCAAAGAGUAAAUUGGCUUAAUUUGAAGAUCUUGCUCAGUUCUUCAUGGAAUUUUUCCAGCUCUUCAUCCC